ensembl:lncRNA
AUGACCAAAACAGGUAAAUCCUCUGCUUAUUGGAACGACAUCUGCCACAGGUAUGCCCAGGGCACCUUCCAGUUCAGUACAGGAAAAAGGCCUGGAAGCAGAAAAUGGAAGGAGGUCCUGGAGCGGAUUGAUGCCUGUCCCCUGCAAAGGGGGAAUAAGGUGGACCUGUUUGGCAGGCACAUAGUGUGCACUUGUGGGUUCCAUAAGUCAACAGAUAAGGUCUUGAUUGAGUCAGGGCCUAAGGUAAAGGCAGGCGGCAGCUCAGAGGAGACAGGGACAUCACAGGAAGUACAUGGGGUGAAGUGUUCUCUGUGUAGUGUGGUUGUGGAGGCAGAGAAGUUCUCCGAGCACCUCUCUGACCACCACGUUGAAGAGAGGUGUGACAGCUGUGGGGUCAGGGUCCAGGGAACCGUCGGACUCCUCCAACACAUUGAGUCGAGCCAUUAUGGGGCUCUAUUGGCUCCACGUGUCAGCCCUUCAAAAAAUCCCACACCAUCUCCGUGCCCCUCACCAUCUCCACGGCUGCCUCCACCUCCACAGCACUUGCCGUCUCCAAUGCCAGUACCAGUGUCUCCAUCCCCAGGGCCCACUCCAUUCCCACACCACUCUCCAGCUCCAAAACCCUCACCACCACCUCCACGGCGCUCUCCAUCUCCACAGCCCACUCCAUCCUCACAUCCAGUACCCUCACUGCAGCCCACACCAUCUCUGCCUCAGGUUAUUACUGACUGGGAGAGCUUUCUUCCCAGUCAGUUCAAGAGAGUCCUCCAGCCAGCAGAUUGGGUGUGGAUUGCCAAGUGCCUGUAUGAGCCCACAGGGCAGCUGAGGCAGAAGAUCCAGGUGAACUGGUUUUAUCCACCGAUGCAGCCCAAGCCAUGUCCUCCUGAGCCUGGGUGGUACUUCCGACAGAGGAUGUUCUUGUGGGCACCAAUGAGGAUGUGGGGCAUUCCUCUUAAAUGCCCACAGUGUGGCCGGAAGAUGCACCAUUCAGGAAUUUACCCAAAGGUCAGGGAGGUGAUUGACAUGGAUAGCCGCUAUUACCUUGUGGGUGGGGACUAUCCACGCUGCAGUGCAUGCAAGUUGCCAGUAUGCCCAUGGAGCCAGGACAUCCUUUCACAACUGGAUGUGGCACACAGGACCAUGUUUCCAGCGGUGCUGACCACUCAGCUAGCCCUGGACAGGAAAUGUGUGACUUUCCUCAGGCCAAGGACCAGUGGAAACAGUUCCUCCUACUUCCAGUCAGCAGUAGAGGAAGCCCACAGUGAGGAGUGGGCACGACGCACCAUCCAGUACCUCUCUGAUUGUGAGCAUCAUUUGAGAAAGGUUACCCUGGUCCAAUCUGCAACGGCACCUGCCUUUUCUGCACCCGCACCCUUCAGGCCACUUCCACUCGCCCAGUGGUUUGAGACUGUCCACUCCAACUAUAUCCUCAGCCAUUUGGACGAGAUGAAGGGGGUGAUUACCUCCACCUAUGGCCGAAUCCUGAAGAUGGAUUCUACAAAGAAGGUACAAUACAUGAAGGUUUCAGCAUGAGGUUUAUUUUCAGCCAGAAAGAAUUUCAACAUGAUGACAAAUGUUGUGUUAUAUACAUUUGUGUUAUAUAUAUUGUAAUGUACCAUAACAAUUCAAAGAAAAUUUAUAAUUAAGCUUGUCAGAAUGUCUUUAUUUUUCCUUCUUUUUGUUUUUCAGAUCACCAAAAAGCUGGCUGGUGGCACUGGGGACACAGCUGCAUGGAUGACCAACAUUGGCAAUGAGCUCGGCCAGGUUCUGAACAGUGUUCUGACAACAGCUGAAGGCGCAGGACUGGAGGAGCUGUGCCAGGGCGUCGUCAAACGCUACCAGAAUGCUGGCGAGCCAGAGCCUGAGGUCAUCUAUGUUGACCGGGAUUGCUGCAGUCAGUCAGGUGAGAUUUUCAAAUUACUACUUUAUCAAAUAUGCACUGCAAUAUAUUUUAUAAAAGUUAAUAGUGGUGUAAAAAAGUUCCCCUUUCCCUAUUGGUGAUGGUAAUUAGUAUUAUUAUUACAGCCAGUGUAUUAAAAAUUGUAAUAAAUUAUAUUGACUGAAAAGUAUGUUUGAAAUU